AUUGAACGCUAGCGGGAUGCUUUACACAUGCAAGUCGAACGAGUGGCGGACGGGUGAGUAAUAUAUCGGAACGUGCCCAGUAGCGGGGGAUAAAUACUCGAAACAGUGGCUAAUACUGCAUACCAUUAGAACGGACGAUAUCGGAUUAGCUAGUUGGUGGGGUAAAGGCUCACCAAGGCAACGCUCCGUCACUGGUUUGAGAGGACGACCAGCCACACUUGGACUGAGACACGGCCCCUACUCCUACGGGAGGCAGCAGUGGGGAAUUUUGGACAAUGGGGGAAACCCUGAGCCAGCCAUCCCGCGUGUAUGAGAAGGCCUUCGGGUUGUAAAGUACUUUUGGCAUAGAAGCGGUAUCUGCAGAAUAAGCACCGGCUAACUACGUGCCAGCAGCCGCGGUAAUUC
rnacentral:rRNA from 1 species